UCUCGAUAUUAUUAGGAUUACUUGUGUAACUAGGAAAGUGAAAUAUUUAUGGCGGUUGAAAUGACCAAUUAGAGACGUAUGGCUUUUAAAAGAUACCACACUAAAAUCUUUCUACUUCGGAUAUCUCUUAAACACCGCCGUCUUAACGAUUUAUCUUUAAAGAUAAGAAUUUCUUUACAAGCAUAAUUUUAGAGUAAAAUUAAAAUAGUCGAAAUUGAUUUAAUGCUUUGAAUAAGUCAGGUAAAGGUUUAGAGUGUGGAGUAGUUGUUGGUUGUAUGUCAAUUUUAGAAAAAAGGAUGAAUUGUAACAUGAAAUCUGAAGAGAAUUUAAAAGUAAUUUAACUUCAUCAAAAGUUUUGUGAAGCUCGGGAACUUUCAAUGC
rnacentral:rRNA from 1 species